ensembl:lncRNA
GCCCUCCAGCUCACCCAGGUUUGGGCCAGCAGGUGAGCUGGAGGGCCCAGGGAACAGGCUGAGCACUAUUUCCUGCAGGGCUCUAGAGCCCUCACUAAGGCUUUCUAGUAGCCAUAGCCCAACCCUUGAGGAGCUGUCAGAGCUGGAGUCUCUUACAAGUCACCUGAAGAUGAAUGCUGAGGGAAGGUGCUCACCGGCUUCAGAAGAGGGAGGCGCCUGGGCUCUGCAGCAGGAAGGUCGGCGCUCACCCUCGGGGGACUCGCCUCUUCUGUCUCCAUAGCUUGUGAAGGGGGCCUGCAGCCCCAUUGUGUGACGUUGUUUUAGACGACCUGCUGUUACCUGCAGAAGAACAACCAGAAACUGUCCCGAAAUGUCUCGAGUAGCUGUCAGCAUCCUGGGCCUUCUCCGUGUCCACAUCCUCCCGCUCAAUGGCUCUCGCCUUGGUGCACCGUCUCCGGGGUGAAACCCUUCACUCUUCCUCCGAGCUCCUCGCGUUCUGCAGUUUGGUCACAGAGUCGAAGUUCCCACCCUCAGUGGGCAACUUGUAAGUGAAUUUGUCGUGGUCAUGGUCUCUCCUGGCGCUUCAGCGCCUCCCAAGCUCUGCCGGGCUCCGCGGUCCGAGUCCCUGGAGCUGGGGCUCAAAGCGCGGCCGGCGGACCCGGGUGAGGCCGGAGGGCAGUAGACACUUGGCCGCUCGGCAGUCCCGCCGCUCGCGCUGUCUGAGCCGUUAAGGAUGUUGAUUGUUACCAAACCGCCGGCUGGGAAGCCGGUCACAAUUCAAACAUCCAUCAGAGAUCAUCCAGUUAUUGAAGGAUUGUAUCAUAUUUUGGGCACCUACUUUUGCAAUCUCUUAAUAUUUCACAUCGGAGAAGGCAAUGGCAACACACUCCAGUACUCUUGCCUGGAAAACCCCAUGGACGGAAGAGCCUGGUAGCUGCAGUCCAUGGGGUCGCGAAGAGUCCGACACAACUGAGCCACUUCACUUUCACUUUUCACAUUCAUGCAUUGGAGAAGGAAAUGGCAACCCACUCCAGUGUUCUUGCCUGGAGAAUCCCAGGGACGGGGCAGCCUGGUGGGCUGCCGUCUAUGGGGUGGCACAGAGUCAGACUCGACUGAAGUGACUUAGCAGAAUAUUUCAUAUUGGAAAGAAGGUGAAUUUUUUAAAUUUUCUUCACCAAAAAUUGAGAAGUCCUAGUAAUGAAUCCGCAGGUCCAAUUUGUGAUGGCAACUGGAUAUGAUUACAGAAUCACCGAGGUCUUAUGAUGUAAGGACAUGGGCUUAGACUUAGGGGCCAGAAUUCUGGUCGGAAAUCAAAAGGGGGCAGGGGUGGUCUUCUUCCCUCCAGGCAGCUGGCUGUGCUGUGGUCCUCUGCCCUGUCCCCUGAUCCUCCCCCAGAUCUGCCUUCCUCCUCCAAGUGCUCUUGGUAGCAGUUAAAGGUGGGGAUGUGGUGCUUGCAGUUGGCAGGGACCCUGUGCUUCACCUGGGGUGUGGGCAAGGAGGGCUGCUGUUGGUUAGAUUGUCUGAUGGCUGAGGCUUCAGGGUGAUCGGGCAGCCCUCUGGCCUCAGAUCUCUUAUAACCGGGGAGUGAUACUAGAACAUUACCUCUUAUUUCUGGCCUAUCAGUGAGUCCUGGAUCUCCAACUCCACGUGAAACUGUGGACGCCAAGAAGUCAGUCUGCCCAGUCCUUGUAGCUCCAUGUAAAGCUUUAGUUCCUCAUAUCCAUGACCCACAAUAAUCCUCGGAUCCUUCACAAUCUGCUUUAAAGUGCCUCUCUAGUUGGGAUGGAGAAUGAGAAAUUCCCCCAGCAGAUUUUCUCAUUCCAUUGACAAGAAUGGAAUGUGAUACGUUCUGCUCAGACCCUGCGUCCAUAGCUCCUUGAGUUUCCAUAAUUCUAAAGGCAGGGAAUCUCUUUGUAGACAGGAUGACUUCCUAUGGUUCUUCCCUGAGAGAGUUCUGGGGCAGCAUGAGGGGGACCACCCCAGAAGGUGUCCAGUUUGUUGUAAAAGGUGAAUUUGCUGCUGAAGCCAAAGUAUGAUGCUUGUGCUCACAUCCAAGAGCAGGUUUUCUGCUUGUAAAUCUCUGUGGACAGAACCCUCCUGGUGACCACACAGCACACACUACUGGUGGACUCUGCCCUCAGCCUCUCUGCUUUCCUACUGCCCUGAGCCACGGGUGCUCACCCACCUCUCCUCCACAAGCAUCCUCUGAACAAGGCAGGGAGUUUCCUCAGCCUCUGUCACUUCAAAUAUUUCACUAUGUUGGGAUGAUCCAAGCCUUCAUGAUUCCUGCUUUGUGGCACAGUCAGCAGAGGCUGGAGAGUUCUGCCGAGAUCAGUGAUCUUUAUGGCUGUCGCUUUCCCAUCCAGGACGUGCUGGCCAGCUUCACUGGAGCCCAGUCUCCCUUACUGACAGUCUCGAGGGCCUGGGGGAGACCAUGUGAAUCUGAGUGUCUCCUCAGCAGAGAAGGCUCAGAGGGCCCUUGGCAUGGUGAGACCCCUGGUCUAAAUCAAAACAAAUUCAGUUCAAAAUUCACCCCAUGAACUGGUCUUUAUGAUGAGUCAAAACACAGUGCCAGACAAGAAUAAAAUAAGAAAAAUGGGAGGUCCAGUGGCUAAGACUCUGUUCCUAAUGCAGGGGGCCCAGGUUUGAUCCCUGGUCAGGGAACUAGAUCCCACAUGCUGCAACCAAGACUUGGUACAGCCAAAUUAAAAAAAAAAAGAAAAAGAAAAAUGGGAACAGAAGUAA